CCGUUCGAUGAAGUUAACCUAAAACCCAUUUGCAUCAGACGGUUUGUAGCCGCUGAUCUCCGAUUCACGCGAGGUUUAAUUUCACCCGUCCGAUCAUUCUCAUAGAGAGAGAGAGAGAGAGAGAGAUGGGUGGAGUUUUGUUCAGUCCGCACUGAUCUGAAUUGCAGUACGCGGAAUUCAAUUUCAAAUGCACCGACAGAGGAAGCGCGCUUUGCAAUCUCCGCCGAUUUCGCUCCGCCUUACAAGUUUUUGAUUCUGGAGCUACAAGCUCUACUCUAUCUUCACAAGUUUCUUCGUGUUCGUACAGAUUUCCAUUGUUGUGUUACGAUUAGCUCUCAGGGCGAUUCUGAUGGCUUAUCUUCACCACAGGUUGUGACCCACCCGUCAACACAGAUAAGGGGCAACCCUCAAGUGGCGCACCGACCACAUAAGAGCCAAAAUUGAGGACUAUCAUUAUGCGACCGAGUGGAACGAUGCAUCAUCCAAUACACUAAAAGUGUGCAUUGAAGAUAAGUUGAGGUAUACGCAAAGUUGGAGAGAAGAAGGUGACACAAGUGUCGAAGACAAGCUCAAAGAGGAUUGGCUGGGCGGGUUCCCAUAUUUAGAACAUUAUAUAUGGUGUACAACAAGAACAAAGUAAAUUAGGUCGAAUGAAAGCGCCAAAGCAGUAGCUUUCUCCAUGAUUAUGAGCCAACUUCCGUUAAAAGAAUUAGAUUUUUCCAAUUGAAAUAGUGUAAUAGCUCAAGCCUAAACUCACAGGUAUCAUAUAUUAUUAAU